UACGGGGGGGGCAAGCGUUGUUCGGAAUUACUGGGCGUAAAGGGCGUCUAGGCGGUAUGGCAAGCGGGAUGUGAAAGCUCCUGGCUCAACUGGGAGAGUGCGUUCCGAACUGCCGAACUAGAGGCCAGGCGAUGGGGGUGGAAUUCCCGGUGGAGUGGUGAAAUGCGUAGAUAUCUGGGAGGAACACCGGUGGCGAAGGCGGCAUCCUGGGACCGGCAUUGACGCUGAGGAGCGAAAGCCAGGGGAGCAAACGGG
rnacentral:rRNA from 1 species